rnacentral:rRNA from 1 species
GAUGAACGCUGGCGGCGUGCCUAAUACAUGCAAGUCGAGCGAACAGACGAGGAUCUUGCUCCUCUUACGUUAGCGGCGGACGGGUGAGUAACACGUGGAUAACCUACCUAUAAUACUGGUAUAACUUCGGGAAACCGUUGCUAAUACCGGAUAAUAUAUUUAACCGCAUUGUUCUAUAGUUAAAGUCGUUUUUUCUGUCACUUAUAGAUGGUUCCGCUCCGCAUUAGCUAGUUGGGAAGGUAACGGCUUACCAAGGCAACGAUUCGUAGCCGACCUGAGAGGGUGAUCGGACACACUGGAAGGGAGACACGGAAAAGACGCCUACGGGAGGCAGCAGUAGGGAAUAUUACGCAAUGGGCGAAAGCAUGACGGAGCAAAGCCGAGUGAGUGAUGAAGGUCUUCGGAUCGUAAAAAUCUGUUAUUAGGGAAGAAAAAAUGUGUAAGUAAAUAUGAACGUAAUGACGGUAACAAAAAAGAAAGCAACGGCUAACUACGUG